UGGCGUUACAUUUCUAUUCCAAACUGAACAACAUUUUAUCUUCUCCUGGUUAUUUUUAGGCUCUUGGCGCAGGCAUGACUGAAGAGUUUUAAGGCAAUCACUCUUGAUGUUCAAAAAAAAAAAGGCAAUCACUCUUAAUCGUAGCAGGGAAUGAUGUCAACAUCACGACAAAGACGAUACACAUCAAUGGAAUUAACUUCAUUUUUGGAUUAAUUAGUAGCGCUCGUGAUAAUUAACCUCAGAAUAAAAUAUUCUUUUGAAAAAUCUGAAACAAUUUAAUUUUGGAAAAAGUUGUAUGUUUUGAGGUCUUUAAAUAGCAAACCAGAAUAAGUAAAAAGUGGGAAUAUUGAAGGUGGAAAUCGAGUCCUACACUUAUGUCUAUUUUUAAUGUCAAAAUUUUCUAUUUUUAUUUACAAAUCAUUAUCUUCAAAAUAAAAGUAUGAUCUGAUGUGGAAGCCCCUUAGUUUAGUGGUUUGACUAAAAGUUCACUAAUACUUCUACACCAGGAGGUCUGGGUUCAAACUCCAGAAAACGCGAAUUAUGCAGAUCAUGGAAAAAAAAGGUUACAAAAAAUCUUCAGCAUGGUGCAAAGGCAUAUCAUCGAACAUGGAUCUCAUAGGGCGGCUCGGAGCGAUGCAGUCAGACGUGGAUUCUCAUAUGAUGGUAGAAUUGUCGGCUAUAGAAUCGUCUAUGUAGUAUUUCUCAUCGUUGUAAUAGCAUAAUUAAUCAAACGUAAAAAAAAGUAUGAUUUGAUCAAAUGACCUAUUGAGUAGGAAUUGGUUAUAAAUUGAGCUCUUGAUGAAAAGUUUUUUUCCAACAUAAAUUUAUUAAUAUUUG
rnacentral:lncRNA from 1 species